GACGAACGCUGGCGGCGUGCUUAACACAUGCAAGUCGAACGGAAAGGCCCCUUUGGGGGUACUCGAGUGGCGAACGGGUGAGUAACACGUGAGUAACCUGCCCUUGACUUCGGGAUAACUUCAGGAAACUGGGGCUAAUACCGGAUAGGAAUCCUUGCUGCAUGGUGGGGGUUGGAAAGCUUCGGCGGUUUUGGAUGGACUCGCGGCUUAUCAGCUUGUUGGUGGGGUAGUGGCUUACCAAGGCUUUAACGGGUAGCCGGCCUGAGAGGGCGACCGGCCACAUUGGGACUGAGAUACGGCCCAGGCUGCUACGGGAGGCAGCAGUGGGGAAUAUUGCACAAUGGGCGGAAGCCUGAUGCAGCAACGCCGCGUGCGGGAUGACGGCCUUCGGGUUGUAAACCGCUUUCAGCAGGGGCGAAGCUUGUGGUGACGGUACCUGCAGAAGAAGCACCGGCUAACUACGUG
rnacentral:rRNA from 1 species